GGAGUUUGGACCGUCUCUCAGUUCCAAUGUGGCCGAUCACCCUCUCAGGUCGGCUACCGAUCGUCGACUUGGUGGGCCGUUACCUCACCAACUAUCUAAUCGGACGCGAGCUCACCCCAAACCGGUUUGCAUCUUUUACCUCAGUACCAUGCGGUACCGUGGUCUUAUGCGGUAUUAUCAGCCGUUUCCAGCUGCUGUCCCCCUGUAUGGGCCAGGUUCUCCACGCGUUACUCACCCGUCCGCCACUAAGUUUCAUCUUCCGUCUCCGAAGAUCCUUCCGAUAAAACUCCGUUCGACUUGCAUGUGUUAGGCACGCCGCCAGCGUUCAUC
rnacentral:rRNA from 1 species